UGUGGAUCUGUCUCCUGCUCGAACAGUGUUUGGACGGAACAGAUCCGGGGCCUCUUUCCUCCAGCCUCCUACCGCCCUCCCAUUUCCUCUCCACUUGGAACCUCCGGGACCAGAGACCAUCUUCUCGGCCGUCUCCUGCUUCUGGCACCUGCCAACACCGUUGUUGUGUUAGCUCCUUCUUGCCGACCAACCAUGAGCUCCCAGAUUCGUCAGAAUUAUUCCGCCGCGGUGGAGGCAGCAGUCAACCGCCUGGUCCAUGUGUGCCUGCAGGCCUCCUACACCCAUUUCUCUCUGGGCUUCUAUUUCGACCGCCGUGAUGUGGCUCUGGAAGGCACGAGCCCCUUCUUCAUUGGCCGAGGAGAAGCGCGAGGGCUGUGAGCGUCUCCUGAAGACGCAAAACCAGCGUGGCGGCCGCGCUCUCUUCCAGGACAUCAAGAAGCCAGCUCAAGAUGAGUGGGGUAAAACCCUGGACGCCAUGGAAGCCGCCAUGGCCCUGAAGAAAAUCUGAACCAGGCCCUUUUGCAUCUUCAUGCCCUGGGUUCUGCCCGCACGGACCCCCAUCCCUGUGACCUUCCGGAGCGUCACUUCCUAGAUGAGGAAGUGAAACUCACCAAGAAGAUGGGUGAACAACUGACCGACCUCCCAGGCUGGCCGGGCCGCAGGCUGGGCUGGGUGAGUAUCUCUUCGAAAGGCUCACUCUCAAGAAGAACUAAGAGUCUGUUGAGCCCAGAGACUUCUGAAUGGGCCCUUUUAAAGUAACACGGCUUCUGCCUAAGCCUCUCCCUGCAGCCAUUAGGCAGCUUUCUAACUAGCCUAACAAGCCUUGGACCAAAUGGAAAUAAAGCUUUUUGAAGCAAAAAAAAAAAAAAAAGAAAA